AUUGAACGCUGGCGGCAGGCCUAACACAUGCAAGUCGAACGAGUGGCGGACGGGUGAGUAAUGUCUGGGAAACUGCCUGAUGGAGGGGGAUAACUACUGGAAACGGUAGCUAAUACCGCAUACCAUCAGAUGUGCCCAGAUGGGAUUAGCUUGUUGGUGGGGUAACGGCUCACCAAGGCGACGAUCCCUAGCUGGUCUGAGAGGAUGACGAGCCAAACUGCAACUAAGACAAGGUCAAGACUCCUACAGGAGGCAGCAGUGGGGAAUAUUACACAAUGGGCGAAAGCCUGAUGCAGCCAUGCCGCGUGUAUGAAAAAGGCCAUCGGGUUGUAAAGUACUUUCAGCGGGGAGGCGUUACCCGCAGAAGACGCACCGGCUAACUCCGUGCCAGCAGCCGCAGUAAGUC
rnacentral:rRNA from 1 species